rnacentral:misc_RNA from 1 species
UGCAGGGACUUAGGGGUG